rnacentral:rRNA from 1 species
AUUGAACGCUGGCGGCAGGCCUAACACAUGCAAGUCGAACGCGUGGCGGACGGGUGAGUAAUGUCUGGGAAAAUGCCUGAUGGAGGGGGAUAACUACUGGAAACGGUAGCUAAUACCGCAUACCCUAGGAUGUGCCCAGAUGGGAUUAGCUAGGAGGUGGGGUAAAGGCUCACCUAGGCGACGAUCGCUAGCUGGUCUGAGAGGAUGACCAGCCACACUGGAACUGAGACCCGGUCCAGACUCCUACGCGAGGCAGCAGUGGGGAAUAUUGCACAAUGGGCGCAAGCCUGAUGCAGCCAUGCAGCGUGUAUGAAGAAGGCGUUCGGGGUGUAAAGUACUUUCAGCGGGGAGGCGUUACCCGCAGAAGAAGCACCGGCUAACUCCGUGCCAGCAGCCGCGGUAAUAC